GUCGAACGAGCUUAGAGAGCUUGCUUUUUAAGCUUAGUGGCGAACGGGUGAGUAACGCGUGAGUACCUGCCCUAGAGUGGGGGACAACAGUUGGAAACGACUGCUAAUACCGCAUAAGACCGCAUGGUAAAAGAUUUAUUCGCUUUAGGAUGGACUCGCGUCCAAUUAGCUAGUUGGUGAGGUAACGGCCCACCAAGGCACGAUUGGUAGCCGGACUGAGAGGUUGAACGGCCACAUUGGGACUGAGACACGGCCCAGACUCCUACGGGAGGCAGCAGUGGGGGAUAUUGCACAAUGGGGGAAACCCUGAUGCAGCGACGCCGCGUGGAGGAAGAAGGUUUUCGGAUUGUAAACUCCUGUCGUUAGGGACGAUAAGACGGUACCUAACAAGAAAGCACCGGCUAACUACGUGCCAGCAGCCGCGGUAAUACGUAGGUGGCAAGCGUUGUCCGGAAUUAUUGGGCGUAAAGCGCGCGCAGGCGGCUUCUAAGUCCAUCUUAAAAGUGCGGGGCUUAACCCCGUGAUGGGAUGGAAACUGGGAGGCUGGAGUAUCGGAGAGGAAAGUGGAAUUCCUAGUGUAGCGGUGAAAUGCGUAGAGAUUAGGAAGAACACCGGUGGCGAAGGCGACUUUCUGGACGACAACUGACGCUGAGGCGCGAAAGCGUGAGGAGCAAACAGGAUUAGAUACCCUGGUAGUCCACGCCGUANACGAUGAAUACUAG
rnacentral:rRNA from 1 species